GACGAACGCUGGCGGCGUGCCUAAUACAUGCAAGUUGAGCGCUGAAGGUUGGUACUUGUACCGACUGGAUGAGCAGCGAACGGGUGAGUAACGCGUGGGGAAUCUGCCUUUGAGCGGGGGACAACAUUUGGAAACGAAUGCUAAUACCGCAUAAAAACUUUAAACACAAGUUUUAAGUUUGAAAGAUGCAAUUGCAUCACUCAAAGAUGAUCCCGCGUUGUAUUAGCUAGUUGGUGAGGUAAAGGCUCACCAAGGCGAUGAUACAUAGCCGACCUGAGAGGGUGAUCGGCCACAUUGGGACUGAGACACGGCCCAAACUCCUACGGGAGGCAGCAGUAGGGAAUCUUCGGCAAUGGACGAAAGUCUGACCGAGCAACGCCGCGUGAGUGAAGAAGGUUUUCGCAUCGUAAAACUCUGUUGGUAGAGAAGAACGUUGGUGAGAGUGGAAAGCUCAUCAAGUGACGGUAACUACCCAGAAAGGGACGGCUAACUACGUG
rnacentral:rRNA from 1 species